rnacentral:rRNA from 1 species
UACAGAGGGGGCAAGCGUUGUUCGGAAUUACUGGGCGUAAAGGGCGCGUAGGCGGCCUUCUAAGUCGAACGUGAAAUCCCCAGGCUCAACCUGGGAACUGCGUCCGAUACUGGAUGGCUUGAAUCCGGGAGAGGGAUGCAGAAUUCCAGGUGUAGCGGUGAAAUGCGUAGAUAUCUGGAGGAAUACCGGUGGCGAAGGCGGCAUCCUGGACCGGCAUUGACGCUGAGGAGCGAAAGCUAGGGGAGCAAACGGG